CCAUCCUUGAGCCUAAUAAUCUCUACUAUGCUCUUUCUCUUGAACCUCCCGAUAAUCCUAUGAAUCUCUCUAGACAUCCCAUGCAUAAGAAGGAGGAUUGAGGAGAGCAACAUCAAUGGCUAGAGGGCAUUAAAAAUUCAUGUGCUAUCACCACAUUUGAGAUCUCUAACCCUCUCUUCUUUUCUAUUUAUAAAAACUUUAAAAGAGCGGUUGUCGAUGCAUAUGUUUAUAAUAAAUAUUGCAGAUCUCGUCGAGUUAAUUGAUGGUUUCCCAAGGACAAGCUUAGUGUCCUAAAACAAGCACUUAUCAGAUUGUAACAUGAACUUCUAAUUACUUGCAACAUUACCUUGUGUAUUGAGCAUAUAAGAUAAUU
rnacentral:lncRNA from 1 species